rnacentral:tRNA from 1 species
GUCUUGGUGGCUGAGUGGUAAAGCGCUUUGCUUCCGAACCAAGGGGCUGAGUUCGAAUCUUGUGUAAGACU